GAGGGUAUAGCUCAGUGGUAGAGCACAUACUUAGAAUGCGUGGUCCUGGGUUCAAUCCCCCGUACCUCCA
rnacentral:tRNA from 1 species